rnacentral:rRNA from 1 species
UACGUAGGUGGCAAGCGUUGUCCGGAAUUAUUGGGCGUAAAGCGCGCGCAGGUGGUUUUCUUAAGUCUGAUGUGAAAGCCCACGGCUCAACCGUGGAGGGUCAUUGGAAACUGGGGAACUUGAGUGCAGGAGAGAAGAGUGGAAUUCCACGUGUAGCGGUGAAAUGCGUAGAGAUGUGGAGGAACACCAGUGGCGAAGGCGGGUCUCUGGGCCGUAACUGACGCUGAGGAGCGAAAGCGUGGGGGAGCGAACAGG